UACGGAGGGUGCGAGCGUUGUCCGGAUUUAUUGGGCGUAAAGCGCGUGUAGGCGGCCGGCUAGGUCUGGUGUGAAAACUCGAGGCUCAACCUCGAGAUGUCGCCGGAAACCAGUCGGCUAGAGUCCGGAAGAGGAGAGUGGAAUUCCUGGUGUAGCGGUGAAAUGCGCAGAUAUCAGGAAGAACACCUAUGGCGAAAGCAGCUCUCUGGGACGGUACUGACGCUGAGACGCGAAGGCGUGGGGAGCGAACAGG
rnacentral:rRNA from 1 species